GGUUUGUCCAUUCUGGGCUACUGUAGAAAUGUGGCGGUGCAACAUGGCAGCUCCGUGGAAGAGAACCCGCUCCCUCGGUAGACAUAAAGGGCUCAUUCUAAGGAUAGCCCUUUUUAGAUCACUUUCAAUCUUGUGCUUAAGGCUGCUAAAGCUCAAAGUAUUUUUGCCAAUGACGAUGGGCGCAGUGGUUUUUCUCUGUCCACCUGACCUGGGGUCCGCUGUCUGAGCUGCCACCUCCCCCCACCGACCGCAGGUGAAGAGGAAAGUGGCGCUGAUCCCUCUCCAGCAACUCCUCACGUUCACAAAACUUGAGAACGUGUUCAAGAAUUGCAUGAGUUUUGCUUUUUUAUGUCUUCGUGGUCUUUGCCAAAAAUUACACAGUAGGCCUACUCAAACUCAAUGUAGUUCUUUCACAGUCAGUUCAAACAACAUUUAAAAAAAAAAUUCCAGCAGAAACUCUUCUCGGAGCUCUAACAUCUCACUUAGCUGACGCUUAACAUUUGAAAAAUAACACAACCGAUCGGUGAUGUAGUAGCUAACUGUUAGCCACUAGCUAACCUAACUGUCUACUGGCCUCACACACCAGUGUUUUAUCAUAUUUUCUCAAAGCCAGUGAGUCUUUCAUCGUGAGGUAAUAUAUCAGUGGAAGCUCCAAACUGUUACACCAUUCAGACGGGACGACAUUAGUGGUGAAGAAAAAUGUCCAUUUUUAUUUCUUCACCUGCAAGACUCAACAACCUCAAACUACCAACAGACACUGGUCUUCUACUAUAUGGCCUGCAGUAAUGUACUCUGCCACCUGCUGGUAUUUGCUCAGAGGCAGGGUCUCCCUCUCAAGACACAAAGAUUAUAGGUGUGACAUGCUUGUUUGGCGAUGGACCAAUGUCUGAUUUCCUGAAAAUAGAUUAUGGAGAGUGUAGGUGGACCAAAGGAGUUUGUCAAAAUGCUCUAUGAUGUAUGAAGACUAACUGUACAGAGUUCAUGUCUGUCUAAAGACAAUUCUGUCAAUAAAAAAAGUGGCUGGCCGCUGCUCAUUGUGUCUGGCAGGUCAGAGCUCACUCACAAUGAUGUGUUAAACAACAAUGAUCAGCAUGUAGCAGUUGUUCCCUUUGCCCCUCUUGACUGUAAACUGUUGCCUUUUUAAAGGACUUUCCCCUGUUCUUAUGAAGUAGAUUAACUGCCAGGCUUUGUGUUGAGCUACUUAAUCUGCAGUUGUGUCAUUUCCCUGAUGUACAGAUGUAGGACCUUCAUCGUGGGAACCUACGUACCAGUCAGUAGAUUUGAUGAAGCCUUUGUGGUCAACAGGAAAACCACAGCUGCCUUCGACUUUGUAAAUCGAGACAUCUUGUGACCUUAAGAUAACCGAGAA